GGUUUAAUUCGAUGAUACGCGAGGAACCUUACCCGGGCUUGAAUUGCAGAGGAAGGAUUUGGAGACAAUGACGCCCCUUCGGGGUCUCUGUGAAGGUGCUGCAUGGUUGUCGUCAGCUCGUGCCGUGAGGUGUCGGCUUAAGUGCCAUAACGAGCGCAACCCCUCUCCUUAGUUGCCAUCAGGUCAAGCUGGGCACUCUGGGGACACUGCCACCGUAAGGUGUGA
rnacentral:rRNA from 1 species